rnacentral:rRNA from 1 species
UACGUAGGGUGCAAGCGUUGUCCGGAAUUAUUGGGCGUAAAGAGCUCGUAGGCGGUUUGUCGCGUCGAAUGUGAAAACCCGGGGCUCAACCCCGGGCCUGCAUUCGAUACGGGCAGACUAGAGUUCGGUAGGGGAGUCUGGAAUUCCUGGUGUAGCGGUGAAAUGCGUAGAUAUCUGGAGGAAUACCGGUGGCGAAGGCGGCAUCCUGGACCAUUACUGACGCUGAGGCGCGAAAGCUAGGGGAGCAAACGGG